ACGACUGCUGCUAAGACUGGAUAGGAAGAUAAAAGGCAUCUUGUAUCUUUUAAAAGACCUAGUUAAUAGGUAUGCUUUAGGAGGGGCUUGCGCCAUAUUAGUUAGUUGGUAGGGUAAUGGCCUACCAAGACGAUGAUGUGUAGCUGGACUGAGAGGUUGAACAGCCACAUUGGGACUGAGACACGGCCCAAACUCCUACGGGAGGCAGCAGUAGGGAAUUUUCGGCAAUGGAGGAAACUCUGACCGAGCAACGCCGCGUGAAUGACGAAGUACUUCGGUAUGUAAAGUUCUUUUAUCGAGGAAGAAAAGCAAAUGGCGAACCAUUUGUUUGCCGGUACUUGAUGAAUAAGCCCCGGCUAAUUAUGUGCCAGCAGCCGCGGUAAGACAUAAGGGGCAAGUGUUAUCCGGAAUUAUUGGGCGUAAAGGGUGCGUAGGCGGUCUAGUAAGUCAGUGGUGUAAUGUCAACGCUUAACGUUGUCCGGCUAUUGAAACUGCUAAACUUGAGUUAGAUAGAGGCGAGUGGAAUUCCAUGUGUAGCGGUAAAAUGCGUAAAUAUAUGGAGGAACACCAGAGGCGUAGGCGGCUCGCUGGGUCUUAACUGACGCUGAGGCACGAAAGCGUGGGGAGCAAACAGGAUUAGAUACCCUGGUAGUCCACGCCGUAAACGAUGAGUACUAAGUGUCGGGUUAAACCGGUACUGAAGUUAACACAUUAAGUACUCCGCCUGAGUAGUACGUACGCAAGUAUGAAACUUAAAGGAAUUGACGGGACUCCGCACAAGCGGUGGAUCAUGUUGUUUAAUUCGAAGAUACCCGAAAAACCUUACCAGGUCUUGACAUGUUUUUGCAAAAUGAUAGUAAUAUCGCGGAGGUUACCAGAAACACAGGUGGUGCAUGGUUGUCGUCAGCUCGUGUCGUGAGAUGUUAGGUUAAGUCCUAAAACGAGCGAAACCCUUAUCGUUAGUUGCCAGCACGUUAUGGUGGGGACUUUAUCGAGACUGCCAAUGAUAAAUUGGAGGAAGGUGAGGAUCACGUCAAAUCAGCAUGCCCCUUAUGACCUGGGCUACAAACGUGAUACAAUGGCUGUUACAAAGGGUAGCUGAAACGCAAGUUCUUGGCCAAUCCCCAAAAACAGUCCCAGUCCGGAUUGAAGUCUGCAACUCGACUUCAUGAAGUUGGAAUCGCUAGUAAUCGCGAAUCAGCAUGUCGCGGUGAAUACGUUCACGGGGUUUGUACACACCGCCCGUCA
rnacentral:rRNA from 1 species